GCGGGGCAGGGGCUGUGGGGCGCCUGAGUUGGGCUGUGCUGUGCUGCGAUGUGAGGGGGACUUUAUAGGUCAUCGAGGGUUGUGGUGGGUUUGUAGGGGCUGCAGUGGGUUAUUAGGAGCUGUAGGGCUUGGGGUGGGGUGUAAUUUGUAGCUGCAAGGUUGUGUGGGUGCUGUGGGUGGGCUAUAGGGUGUGGCUUGGUGGGGGGCUGCGGUGGGUCUGUGGAGCUUUGAGGGGCACGUUGGGCUCUGGCGUGUAAUCUGGGGGCUGUGUGUGUUUUGGGUGCCCCAUAGGGCUGUAGUGAGCUGCAGGAGGAUGCCCUGUGGGGCUGUGUUGGAGCAUUGAGGUUGUAGGACCUGAAGUGGGAUGUAAUUCGGGGUUGUAGGGGUGUGAGGCUAUGUGGGGCUGUGAAACCCUGUGGGGCUGCAGUGGGUAAUGGACACCGCAGAGCCUGGGAUCGGAUGUAGUUUAGUUUGUGUCUGCAAGCCUGUACAUGGGGGAUAGGAUGUAGUUUGUGUCUGCAAGCCUGUACAUGGGGGAUAGGAUGUAGUUUGUGUCUGCAAGCCUGUACAUGGGGGAUAGGAUGUAGUUUGUGUCUGCAAGGCUGUACAGGGGCUGUGGGAUCCAUCCCAUUGGGUUUCAGGGCGAUGCCCUGAGGGGUUGCAGUGGAUUAUAGGGUCAAGGGGAUGCUCCAUGAGCUGUGUGGGGAAGGGGCUGAAGCAAAACCCAAGCAUGAUGUGACCUCGUCCAGCUCCUGCGCUGAUCCCUGCUGAAAGCAAGUGAGAAUGCUGCAACAAAAUCUGGCUGAGGAUGAAACAUUCUUGCAGCAGCCUUGGAGGCUGAACGUCAGCUGAGGAUCUCAAAAGUGAGGGGGAGCAGCAAAGCGCUUUGUCUUGAGACCCUUUUUUGGGACCUGAGGGAAUGGUGCUUCUACUGAAGCAGCGCAGCAAAAACUUGCAUGCAAGAUACCAUCUUCCACAGCUCUGCCUUUGCUGCUGCACUAACAAGGUUUUUUUGAAGUUUGAGGUCUUAAUGUAGCAUUUAAAAUUUCACUUACCCAAAGCCUCCAUUUUUUUGUUAUUUUUUCUUUUUUUUUUUUUUUUUCACCCUGCGAUUUACCGCAAGAAUAUUAAAGGAAAUAGUUUGCUGAGGAUCUUGCUAAUAAUAUACUCCCUCCAUCAGGAGAAAAUAUUCUACCUUGGCAUUUGGUGCCUCACUAACAAGCAGCCAGAAAGGAGCGAUGCCAUAUAAAACUGUAACCUCUAAAUAUGAAAUUUUGGAGAUUGCAACGAGCAGCGAGUGCCAGCUCCAUGCCGGCAGCAGGGAGGAGGCAGAGGGAACGCCAUCAGCUCGCUACUUGCUGCUGCACAGAGCACAUAGCCCCAGGAGUUUCUCUGCCCAGUGUCCUGUUACCACUUGAAUCAAGAUGUGAAUGCCAAGCCAGCUUAUUUUUAGCAGAAUUUGGACCUAAAGAAGCAAGCGCUGGUGAAAUACAUCGUACUGACAGCUCUGGAAAAUCUUUAUUCAUCUGCAGCGCAGGAAGCAGGGAAGGAUGCGAGAAAGCAAAGCAAUCCCAAGCUACAAACCAAGUCUCCCUAGCACUGCACAGACCCUGGCGGUAGCUGGGAGAGGGUUUUUCCACGCUAAGAGCAGGCCUGGCACGGCAGGGAGGAGUGCGGUGUGCCGCAGAUUUGGACAGCCUACAAGCCUCCAGCUGAGCUCACUGCGUCUGUCGGAGCUCAACUGCAGCAGCGGUGGGGCUGUAAAAAUGGGAGAGACUCGGAAAACUUGAGUAUCUGAGCCCUGCUCUGCUAAGCUCUGCGAGUUUACUGUGUUAAUACAACAUUGGAUCUGUGCAACUGGGCGGUCCAAUGGCACUGAUGCUGCCCUGUACCACCUCUAGCAGUCAUUCAGACCCUCUGCUCUGUGGAAGAACCCAAAAAGAGGAUACUUACGACACAACCAUCAUGCCAAGCAGGCAUGUUUCUAUCCCUGUCUCUUGGGACCUUGCUGAAAUCCUCCAGUGCAUUUAGGCAUCUGCUGGACCUGAGCUGGCUGGGGGCUGAUAGAUCCCUGCAGGCAGCAGUUGGCUGGAGUGGAGACGAGACCAUGAAGGAGAGCAGAGCAGCAGCAAAAAUGGGUCCCUUCAGCUUUUGGGGUACAGCUAGGAGGUCCCUGGAUGCAUGCUGGGAACGGUAGCUGGGGUUGUUGAAGGUGAGCACAGGAGAUGUCCCCUGCAUUUCUCUGCCAGGAGGAUGCACACACAGUGUUAACACGUUUGUCAUCAGUAGGUCUGAAAUUCAACCACGGACAGCUCAGGGAUCUGACAAUUGUUUGUGUCUGCCUCGAGACAAAUAUCUCAUUGCCCCCUUUGCAAAUUUGCUCCUCUGCUGCGUGUGUGUUUCGAGUUUCUUCAUGCAAAACCUGCGUGGGUGUUUGGGUAUGUAAUGAGCACAUAGUUCAGGAUGAAAACAAGUUGCCUGGAAGAGCCAAGUAACGCCAAAAAAAUGAAAGCAAUACAAACAACAACAUGGCACACAGCCAUACCAGCUAGACCGUGGGCCAGCCGGAUCUCACGUACUCUCCGGAGCUGCAGAGCCGAUCAGCUGUUGGAAAAAGAGACCUUUAAAGACAAGUGAGAGGAAAUAGCAUUGGCAGUGCAGGCCACAGCAUGUUUCCUUCCAAAGCAGGACAGAGCCAAGGACAUGAGGCAGAGCUGUAACAUUUGGGGUCUCGUUGCUCAGCAAAUCAAAAACGUCCAGUGGGUUGUAGUUGUGUAAGCGUCUAUUGUUUUCUGAGCAGAAUCAGAGCACUGGUCUGAUUGGGUAUUGUCACAACAGAUUUUGGCAAUGCUUGCUCACCUAAGUGAGCUCCCUCUGCAAAAUGAAGCCCUGGCUUUAACUCAGUGCUCCGUGUUGGGGAAAUAAACCUGCCUGCCUACACAACUCUCUGGCUGGAGAAUAUCUUCCAAAACCUCCCAUAGGAACUUUGAAGAAAAACACCAUUAGCCUAUGGACCAGAGCAGGACCAGAGCAAUUCCAAAAAAUUCCCUGAAGUGGCCUCACUAAUUAUUAUCUCAUUUUGGUAAAGUGAAUGGGGAAAAAAUAGUGGUGAAGCUGUUUUGAAAUGCAUUUUCUGCAGAGCCUGAAUGAAUUUCUGUAUAGAAAGGGGGGUGAGAGCAGGCCUCAAAGACAGGUUACGUAAUUUUUCCCUUGCCCUCAUCCAUUUGGAGCAAGGGACCAUCUGUACCUCCUUAUAACACAGUGAAACAGUACUUCUUUCAGCAUAAGAAAAUGGGUUUAGUUGUGUAGACUCUGAUCCAUGCAUCUGCUCCUAGCCCAUUCAUUUAAAUACCUGUCUGAGAACUCUUCACCAGCUCUUAAAGCACCUGUUCAUUGGUGAAAGGCUUGAAUCAGUAAAAGCUCACUGGUAAUCUGGAAGGUUGAAAGGGGCCUUAAAUACCAGAGCUUCCAUAUGCAUAUUGGCAUUUUUCUUUGCAUAAAUGCCAGCUUUAAAAGGCUUAUUUUACAAAGCACAAACACACUUCUAUGAUGAUUUUUUUUUUUUACAUCAAGGUCAGUAACUCGGCUUCAUUCAUCAGUCUCCAGCUGCAAACAUGCCCCAGACAAUGGAGGAGAGUGUAUGUGAGCCAGGAAGUGCCAUUUGAGGGGAUGUGAGUGGCUCUAAACUGCACUGGGGAGAGAGGAUCUUGGUGCCCUUGUGCACUCGGCCCUGCACGAACUGAAAUAGGGUGCUCGAGGGCAGGAAAAGCUGCUUAGGUGGGCACAAAUAACACUCGCACUUAGUGAGCUUCAGUAAAAGGCACCUCUCAAAUGUCACCGCUGUGCCGUCGACUGGUGUGAUGCAGCCAACAUUGUGCUCCCCUCCACAGAGGCAGUGAGCACUCUUAGGAAGCAGACAAGAUAAUCCCAGCUAAAAAUACUUAUUCUUCCCCUGGCAGGUGCAUGCAUCGUGUGCACGGUGCUCUCACGGUGACGUGCCUGCACACCCAGUGCACUCUGCUCAUCUUUCACUUUGGUGCUUCUCCUCCUUCCAAGUGAAGUGCUUGGGCAUUGUGAUUAGUGCUCUGAAUCACCCGGAUAGGAUGCUCCGUCCUGUGUUUCAGAUGCAAAAUGUGCCUUGGAAUUCAAUAGUUGCUAUAGUGCCGUAAUUACACAUUUUAUGGAGUAGUUAGUCAGAAUGGCUAGAGCUCUUGUUAUUAGGCUUGGACUCCUUCUGCUGCUUUAUUUUAAAGACCUCUCUGAUAAACGUCUACUCUCUGCAUUAAAAAUAGUUUGUUUCAGCUUUUGUGUCCCUCCAAACGUAGCCACAAUUCAAGGCUGAAGGAGAAUAGGUCCCCAGCUAUGUGGAGGGACAGAGUUUGUAGCCUGCUUAUUGCAACGUGGGAUUGGGAGCUCCAAAAUGUUCCUCAAAGUCAGCUGCAGUGACACCAGCUGAGUACUUCCAGGGUUUGGGAGUUCUUGAGCACUGAUCUCAGCAACUUUGCUGUCUAUGGUUUGGAGAAGACGUGCACAAUCUGCUUAAGGCAUCCAUACCAACCAGGAUCCUCCUCUUCCCUUCAGCAGUAUGGAGGAAGUGGACUCUUUGGGUGCUUUGGGUCCCACAAUGGGACACGGUUUUGGUGAGGAUGAAUCUCUGUACCAAGGUGUUGCUGUUCUUAUGCCCACUCUAGAAGAAGCUCAGCAGGAUUGCAAGCAACUGAGAUAAGCAAAAUAAGCACCAUGCUUGACAUCCCUCCUCUGGUCGGCAGGGAUAGUCACCACCCUACAUCAUAGUGUUGGCCUUUCCCCUAUUAACCACAUUUUCUGCCCAGGUUUCCCUAUCUGGAGAGUGGAGCUAACUGCUUAAUUGCCUACUUUCUAAGGAGUCGAGCAGGAUAAUUAGCUAAUGUUUGGGUAAUGCGUCAUAGGGUAAAAGUGCUAAGUAGUAUUACUGUCAGCAGCACAGUGGGAAGUGAAGGACUCAAUCUUGUUUUUCAGUCAGGAAUGUCACGGUCUUCCCUUAAGCUCACUGUUCACAUUGACUGCUGAGGGCAGGGGACUUGGGUGAAAAGUUUCAAGGAGGAGGAUGCCAAGGACAGCAGAAAGCUGUUUGCAAUCCAGGAGAAGAGCUGUGAGAAUAGCUUGGUGUGCUUUGGAAAGAGAAAACUGUAAAUGAUGACAAAGGCAGGGAACACGCCUGGGGCAGCACAGAAAGGACUCGUGUCUGUAAGCUUAAUUAUUCAAUAGCAACAUCCUCUGAGUCAUAAAAAUGCAUCGGGGAAAGUUUUCUUGCGCUGCAUUUGUUGCAUGCAUGCAGCACUGUGGGAAGCAUGAUAUAGAAACCCAUCUAGCUCUCCCUGGGGACUGAAGUAGACUCAACCUAAAAGAGAUUUUGCAUCUUUAAUUUCUAUUAUUCUGCAAAUUACGUUAGAGAUGAAUUUUAAACCCUUCUCAUGUCCGUUGAUCAUAAUUGAUGAGAUUUCAAUUGUGUCUCCUUGAAGUUAAACAUCUGAGAGACACUUUGCUUAAUAGUUUGCCUUUCAGAGCACUGCAUUAGCUCCCUUGUGCUCCAGUCCGCUUAAUUUAGAGCGAGUGCCCAAAAGUGGUGCAAUUAAGGAAGGAAUCUUGGGCUGAAGCUCUCUAUGCUUUCAAAUGACCAGCAGACCCUUAGCGCUGGCUUGUUUUUACCAUGGCUGGAACAACACUUUCUGUGACUCACUCUUAAUUAUUCUCUGGAUUCAAGAACAAAUGUUUUUAACCUCUUUCUGUUAUAUCUGAGAAUAAUUAAACCCUCAUCUCUGUCUCUGAGCAGUUCUGGAAACGUUGCUGUGAUCUGCCAUUCCACCUCUGUGAGCCUGACUCCUUGGCUUUCUGGCCACACCAGAGAAGCAUAUUCUCCUUCUGCAUCUUUUCUAAAUGAGCUGAUAUUUUUCACGCUUUCGAUUUAUUUUCUUGCCCUGGAAACAGUCCUAUGCUUUGAUCUAUUCAAAAAAGAUGUCUUUUCCAGAGAGAUUGCUGGGCUCUCCUUUUUUCCUGUCAAGUGGCCAGCCGCAGGCCACAUGGAGAAGAUGCUAGCUCCCUUUUCUUCUUCCCAGUAUCAGUAAGCCAGCCUCAGACCAUCUCAGCAGCUCUGCACCCUGCACAGGUGUCUCUUCAGGCAGGAGGAUAGAGGGAAGAAACACAGACGGUGCCAAAUCAAUCCUAUCCACCAUUUGCAUUCCUACAUCUCUGCGAGCUUUCCAUCAGGAGUAAUAUUUGACCCUUGGGAAAGCAGAGCAACCUUUUGUUUGCCAUUCCUGAUGGUAUGAAAAUCAGCAGACACACUGCUGUGAUGAGUCGCCUGCCAUGAAACAGUCACAUGCCAAACACCGCCCCAUCCCAGCACUCCCCAGGAAGAGUUUGUGCCCAGUCUCAGCUUCUGAAGUCCUCAAAAGCCUGCUUUAUCCUAGAGAACCACUUCCUGUUGUGUCUGUUCCUGUAUUUGUACUAA